rnacentral:rRNA from 1 species
GGGACACGUGGUAUCCUGUCUGAAUAUGGGGGGACCAUCCUCCAAGGCUAAAUACUCCUGACUGACCGAUAGUGAACCAGUACCGUGAGGGAAAGGCGAAAAGAACCCCGGCGAGGGGAGUGAAAAAGAACCUGAAACCGUGUACGUACAAGCAGUGGGAGCCUCUUUUAUGGGGUGACUGCGUACCUUUUGUAUAAUGGGUCAGCGACUUAUAUUCUGUAGCAAGGUUAACCGAAUAGGGGAGCCGAAGGGAAACCGAGUCUUAACUGGGCGUUAAGUUGCAGGGUAUAGACCCGAAACCCGGUGAUCUAGCCAUGGGCAGGUUGAAGGUUGGGUAACACUAACUGGAGGACCGAACCGACUAAUGUUGAAAAAUUAGCGGAUGACUUGUGGCUGGGGGUGAAAGGCCAAUCAAACCGGGAGAUAGCUGGUUCUCCCCGAAAGCUAUUUAGGUAGCGCCUCGUGAAUUCAUCUCCGGGGGUAGAGCACUGUUUCGGCAAGGGGGUCAUCCCGACUUACCAACCCGAUGCAAACUGCGAAUACCGGAGAAUGUUAUCACGGGAGACACACGGCGGGUGCUAACGUCCGUCGUGAAGAGGGAAACAACCCAGACCGCCAGCUAAGGUCCCAAAGUCAUGGUUAAGUGGGAAACGAUGUGGGAAGGCCCAGACAGCCAGGAUGUUGGCUUAGAAGCAGCCAUCAUUUAAAGAAAGCGUAAUAGCUCACUGGUCGAGUCGGCCUGCGCGGAAGAUGUAACGGGGCUAAACCAUGCACCGAAGCUGCGGCAGCGACGCUUAUGCGUUGUUGGGUAGGGGAGCGUUCUGUAAGCCUGUGAAGGUGUGCUGUGAGGCAUGCUGGAGGUAUCAGAAGUGCGAAUGCUGACAUAAGUAACGAUAAAGCGGGUGAAAAGCCCGCUCGCCGGAAGACCAAGGGUUCCUGUCCAACGUUAAUCGGGGCAGGGUGAGUCGACCCCUAAGGCGAGGCCGAAAGGCGUAGUCGAUGGGAAACAGGUUAAUAUUCCUGUACUUGGUGUUACUGCGAAGGGGGGACGGAGAAGGCUAUGUUGGCCGGGCGACGGUUGUCCCGGUUUAAGCGUGUAGGCUGGUUUUCCAGGCAAAUCCGGAAAAUCAAGGCUGAGGCG